rnacentral:tRNA from 1 species
GUGGCUAUGGCGAAGUGGUUAACGCACCGGAUUGUGAUUCCGGCAUACGUGGGUUCAAUCCCCACUAGCCACCCCA